rnacentral:rRNA from 1 species
AGUGAACGCUGGCGGUAGGCCUAACACAUGCAAGUCGAACGGCAGCACAGUAAGAGCUUGCUCUUACGGGUGGCGAGUGGCGGACGGGUGAGGAAUACAUCGGAAUCUACUUUUUCGUGGGGGAUAACGUAGGGAAACUUACGCUAAUACCGCAUACGACCUACGGGUGAAAGCAGGGGAUCUUCGGACCUUGCGCGAUUGAAUGAGCCGAUGUCGGAUUAGCUAGUUGGCGGGGUAAAGGCCCACCAAGGCGACGAUCCGUAGCUGGUCUGAGAGGAUGGUGGGCGGGAGGGGAGGGGAGGCGGGGUCGAGGCUCCUACGGGAGGCAGCAGUGGGGAAUAUUGGACAAUGGGCGCAAGCCUGAUCCAGCCAUACCGCGUGGGUGAGGAAGGCCUUCGGGUUGUAAAGCCCUUUUGUUGGGAAAGAAAAGCAGCAGGUUAAUACCCCGCUGUUCUGACGGUACCCAAAGAAUAAGCACCGGCUAACUUCGUG